GAGUUUGAUCCUGGCUCAGAUUGAACGCUGGCGGCAGGCUUAACACAUGCAAGUCGAGCGGGGGAGAUUGCUUCGGUAAUUGACCUAGCGGCGGACGGGUGAGUAAUACUUAGGAAUCUGCCUAUUAAUGGGGGACAACAUCUCGAAAGGGAUGCUAAUACCGCAUACGCCCUACGGGGAAAGCAGGGGAUCACUUGUGACCUUGCGUUAAUAGAUGAGCCUAAGUCGGAUUAGCUAGUUGGUGGGGUAAAGGCCUACCAAGGCGACGAUCUGUAGCGGGUCUGAGAGGAUGAUCCGCCACACUGGGACUGAGACACGGCCCAGACUCCUACGGGAGGCAGCAGUGGGGAAUAUUGGACAAUGGGGGGAACCCUGAUCCAGCCAUGCCGCGUGUGUGAAGAAGGCCUUAUGGUUGUAAAGCACUUUAAGCGAGGAGGAGGCUCCUGUAGUUAAUACCUACAGAGAGCGGACGUUACUCGCAGAAUAAGCACCGGCUAACUCUGUGCCAGCCGCCGCGGU
rnacentral:rRNA from 1 species